CAUCACUAAAACAGGAAACCAUAUCUCAAAAUCCCUAACAAUUCGAAUUUUCGGUUAUGUUUUCACAUUAAUAGCUGUAACAAAAGUUUCGAGAUAAGUUUUAACCACCCGAGACAAAGGUCUCGACUCGAGACCACAAGAACUCGACUCGAAAUCAUAAGUGUUCUCAAAUGUUUAUAACUCGAGACAACAAUUCCGACUCGAGAUCAUAAGGUCUCGACUCGAGACCACUGAGGUUUCGACUAAGGGCUUAAAUCUGUACGACUCGAGACCAUAAAGGUCACAACUCGAGACCAUGGUUGCGACUCGAGACCUCAUAAGGAGUCGAGAUCUCAUAAUUCACAGCAGUCGAGACCAUGAUUACGACUCGAGACACUGAGGUUGCGACUCAAGACCAUUAAUGAGUCGAGACCUCAUAAUGUUAUAAGCUGAGUCGAGACUUGACUCGAGACCUCAUAACUGACUCGAGAUC
rnacentral:lncRNA from 1 species